GACGAACGCUGGCGGCGUGCCUAACACAUGCAAGUCGAGCGAGUGAAUCUCCUUCGGGAGUGAAGCUAGCGGCGGACGGGUGAGUAACACGUGGGCAACCUGCCUCAUAGAGGGGAAUAGCCUUCCGAAAGGAAGAUUAAUACCGCAUAAGAUUGUAGCUUCGCAUGAAGUAGCAAUUAAAGGAGCAAUCCGCUAUGAGAUGGGCCCGGGCGCAUUAGCUAGUUGGUGAGGUAACGGCUCACCAAGGCGACGAUGCGUAGCCGACCUGA
rnacentral:rRNA from 1 species